GGCGGCGUAGCUCAGUUGGUCAGAGCAGAGGAAUCAUAAUCCUUUUGUCAGGGGUUCGAAUCCCUUCGCCGCUA
rnacentral:tRNA from 1 species